AGAGUUUGAUCAUGGCUCAGGACGAACGCUGACGGUGUGCCUAAUACAUGCAAGUCGAGCGAAGAGGCCCUUUCGGGGGCACUUCAGCGGCGGACGGCUGAGUAACACGUAGGUAACGUGCCCUUUACUGGGGGAUAACACUGGGAAACUGGUGCUAAUACCGCAUAAGAAACAGGUUGAAAUACUUGUUUUUAAAGCUCCGGCGGUAAGGGAUCGGCCUGCGGCAGAUUAGCUUGUUGGUAGGGUAAAAGCCUACCAAGGCGAUGAUCUGUAGCUGGUCUGAGAGGAUGAUCAGCCAGAGUGGGACUGAGAACGGCCCACACUCCUACGGGAGGCAGCAGUAGGGAAUAUUGCGCAAUGGGCGAAAGCCUGACGCAGCAACACCGUGUGUAGGAAGAAGCUUCUAGGAGUGUAAACUACUGUCAACAGGGAAUAAACAUGACUGUACCUGUGGAGGAAGCACCGGCUAACUACGUGCCAGCAGCCGCGGUAAGACGUAGGGUGCAAGCGUUGUCCGGAUUUAUUGGGCGUAAAGAGUUCGUAGGCGGUUGCCUAAGUCUGAUGUUAAAGACCGGAGCUCAACUCCGGCAUGGCAUUGGAAACUGGGUGACUAGAGUGCGGAAGAGGUAACUGGAAUUCCAGGUGUAGCGGUGAAAUGCGUAGAUAUCUGGAGGAACACCAGUGGCGAAAGCGAGUUGCUGGUCCGUAACUGACGCUGAGGAACGAAAGCCAGGGUAGCAAAAGGGAUUAGAUACCCUAGUAGUCC
rnacentral:rRNA from 1 species